rnacentral:rRNA from 1 species
UACAGAGGGGGCAAGCGUUGUUCGGAAUUACUGGGCGUAAAGGGCGCGUAGGCGGCCUUCUAAGUCAGACGUGAAAUCCCUCGGCUUAACCGGGGAACUGCGUCUGAUACUGGAUGGCUUGAAUCCGGGAGAGGGAUGCGGAAUUCCAGGUGUAGCGGUGAAAUGCGUAGAUAUCUGGAGGAACACCGGUGGCGAAGGCGGCAUCCUGGACCGGCAUUGACGCUGAGGAGCGAAAGCCAGGGGAGCAAACGGG